GACGAACGCUGGCGGCGUGCUUAACACAUGCAAGUCGAACGGAAAGGCCCUGCUUUUGUGGGGUGCUCGAGUGGCGAACGGGUGAGUAACACGUGAGUAACCUGCCCUUGACUUUGGGAUAACUUCAGGAAACUGGGGCUAAUACCGGAUAGGAGCUCCUGCUGCAUGGUGGGGGUUGGAAAGUUUCGACGGUUGGGGAUGGACUCGCGGCUUAUCAGCUUGUUGGUGGGGUAGUGGCUUACCAAGGCUUUGACGGGUAGCCGGCCUGAGAGGGUGACCGGCCACAUUGGGACUGAGAUACGGCCCAGACUCCUACGGGAGGCAGCAGUGGGGAAUAUUGCACAAUGGGCGGAAGCCUGAUGCAGCAACGCCGCGUGCGGGAUGACGGCCUUCGGGUUGUAAACCGCUUUCGCCUGUGACGAAGCGUGAGUGACGGUAAUGGGUAAAGAAGCACCGGCUAACUACGUGCCAGCAGCCGCGGUGAUACGUAGGGUGCGAGCGUUGUCCGGAUUUAUUGGGCGUAAAGGGCUCGUAGGUGGUUGAUCGCGUCGGAAGUGUAAUCUUGGGGCUUAACCCUGAGCGUGCUUUCGAUACGGGUUGACUUGAGGAAGGUAGGGGAGAAUGGAAUUCCUGGUGGAGCGGUGGAAUGCGCAGAUAUCAGGAGGAACACCAGUGGCGAAGGCGGUUCUCUGGGCCUUUCCUGACGCUGAGGAGCGAAAGCGUGGGGAGCGAACAGGCUUAGAUACCCUGGUAGUCCACGCUGUAAACGGUGGGUACUAGGUGUGGGGUCCAUUCCACGGGUUCCGUGCCGUAGCUAACGCUUUAAGUACCCCGCCUGGGGAGUACGGCCGCAAGGCUAAAACUCAAAGGAAUUGACGGGGCCCCGCACAAGCGGCGGAGCAUGCGGAUUAAUUCGAUGCAACGCGUAGAACCUUACCUGGGUUUGACAUGGAUCGGGAGUGCUCAGAGAUGGGUGUGCCUCUUUUGGGGUCGGUUCACAGGUGGUGCAUGGCUGUCGUCAGCUCGUGUCGUGAGAUGUUGGGUUAAGUCCCGCAACGAGCGCAACCCUUGUUCACUGUUGCCAGCACGUUAUGGUGGGGACUCAGUGGAGACCGCCGGGGUCAACUCGGAGGAAGGUGGGGAUGACGUCAAGUCAUCAUGCCCCUUAUGUCCAGGGCUUCACGCAUGCUACAAUGGCUGGUACAGAGAGUGGCGAGCCUGUGAGGGUGAGCGAAUCCCGGAAAGCCGGUCUCAGUUCGGAUUGGGGUCUGCAACUCGACCUCAUGAAGUCGGAGUCGCUAGUAAUCGCAGAUCAGCAACGCUGCGGUGAAUACGUUCCCGGG
rnacentral:rRNA from 1 species